UCUUUUCUUUAAUACAUAGGAGGUCAAAUUCAGAUUACUGUUGAAGUCUUUUCAGUAUAAUUCAAUCUAGGAAGAUUGGAAUCACGCUCUGUAGGAUUUGAACCUACGACAUCGGGUUUUGGAGACCCACGUUCUACCGAACUGAACUAAGAGCGCUUUUGUAAUAGAUAGAUAAGACGGUAAGUAAAGAAAAGGAUUCUUUUUGGAACCCCACUACAUCUUGUAUGCAUAUACUAUAUAAUAGUCUUAUAAAAAUGAAAUAUUAUGUAUGUCCAAAAUCAAUCCAUCUCAACGGAUCUCCCGUUACUGCUCAAAUCAAAGGAGAAGUAAUAGGUAGGGAUGACAGGAUUUGAACCUGUGACAUUUUGUACCCAAAACAAACGCGCUACCAAGCUGCGCCACAUCCCUUUAAUUGGUCUACAGUGUAGUGUCAUUGUAGAGAAUUCCUCUCUUGUUUUCCACAUGCUUAAUUUCUUUUUGAUAUACACAAAUUUUAUUUUUCUAUUUCUUCUUUUUUAUUUUUCUAUUUCUUCUUGUUGGUUUCAUAUAUCAUAUAAUAAUAGGAAUAGUCCAAAACUUAUAUACAUAUGAAAUAUUGAACCUGCCAUAAAACUCAAUAAAUAUUUUUCGUGAAUGCUGGGGAAGAAAGAGAUACUUUAUUUCUGUUUUAAGCAAAAGAAAAUCUUAUUUUUUUACCAACACAUUGUACAUUUCAAUGUGAAUUCGAGAUUCGCUGUACAAUUAUAAGUAGCUCUUAACUACAUAUGCAUCUAAUCAUAUAUGUAUUACGAUUCUGUAUUCCAAUAAAGAAGGAGGUUUUUUAAUGCGAGAUUUUAAAACAUAUCUCUCUGUGGCACCGGUACUAAGUACUCUAUGGUUCGGGGCUUUAGCAGGUCUUUUGAUAGAGAUUAAUCGUUUUUUUCCAGAUGCAUUAACAUUCCCAUUUUUUUCAUUCUAGGUAUUCACAUGGAAAGGAAUAAAGAAAAUUAGAGAUACAAUAAAAUAUCCGUGUGAAUAAUCCAAUUCCUUUUUCCCUUUUUAGAAAAAAAUAAGGGAGCAAAGAAAAAGAAGAAAAGUAGAUUCAACAUUUGCGAAACUUGAAUUGAAGUUUAAAUUAAUAUUAGAUACAAAAAUUUUUAAUAGAAGGAAAA